rnacentral:rRNA from 1 species
CCGGAUACUCGUGCUGCCGGCGGGGGUAAUGCGGGGGGGGGGGGCGUUGUCCGGGAGUGCUGGGCGUAAAGGGCGCGUAGGUGGCGCUCCAAGUCUGUGUUGAAAGCUCGAUGCGUAACGUCGAGUCGGCCACGGAGACUGGAGGGCUCGAGCACUGUAGGGGCAGAUGGAAGUCCGGGUGUAGCGGUGGAAUGCGUAGAGAUCCGGAAGAACACCGGUGGCGAAGGCGGUCUGCUGGGCAGUAGCUGACACUGAGGCGCGACAGCGUGGGGAGCAAACAGGAUUAGAUACUCCAGUAGUC